rnacentral:rRNA from 1 species
CCUACGGGGGGCAGCAGUGGGGAAUAUUGGGCAAUGGAGGCAACUCUUACCCAGCAAUGCCGCGUGAAUGAAGAAGGUCUUCGGAUUGUAAAGUUCUUUAAUUGGGGACGAAAAACAUGACGGUUCCCAAGGACUAAGCCCCGGCUAACUACGUGCCAGCAGCGGCGGUAAUACGAAGGGGCUAAGCGUUGUUCGGAAUGACAGGGCGUACAGGGUGUGUAGGCGGUGUAGCAAGUUAGAAGGGAAAUACCGAGGGCUUAACUCAGGUGCUGCUUCUAAAACUGGUAUACUUGAGUGCAGGAGAGGUAAGUGGAAUUCCUGGUGUAGCGGUGGAAUGCGUAGAUAUUAGGAGGAACAUCAGUGGCGAAGGCGACUUUCUGGACUGUAACUGACGCUGAGGCACGAAAGUGUGGGGAGCAAACAGGAUUAGAUACCCCUGUAGUC